GGGUAGACGGCAGUCGUUAAGUUUGGGUGUGUAAAUGAACGUUGCACCAACAGUAAAAAUUUUAUAUAAAACAAGGAAACAGUGACGUUGAAGCAAAGCAAAAAUGUUACGAGACAUAGGGAAAAGAAAAAAACUUCGAAAUCCGAAAGAGACGAAAGAUGACUUUGUAAGCGCUGUAGGAGUCUUAGUAACCUGAAGCAGCGAAAACUGGAAAAAUCGUCUAAAAACAACUCCGAGGGAAGCAACUGUACGAGUCCCAACAAAGCGAGAGAGUCUAUCAGUAACCGAGGAUGAAGCCUCUCCUCCGUUGUCCUUGAUUCAAAACGAGAUGCGUCGCGUAAACGCUGAUAAUGCUUGUGUAAUUGAGUUGAUUGGCAUCGUAAUGACAUUAUAUGAGCCUUUGGACUACGAUUAAUAUGAAAUGUCAUCGUAUCGAUGGUUUGCAUGUCAGCUUACCGAAACUAAUUACUAGUACACAACUUAUCGAUAAAUUAUGUUUUGUUGGCGGAUGGGAUUUGUGGCAAUUGGUUAUCUCGUGAGCAACAAGCCUGGUUUAUUUCCCCUGAAAUAUUGCCAGAUUAUAUUGGGAACCGAUGUUAAGGCAUUGAAGGCGUUAACAAUAUGUUUUCACUACGAUCGGAUGAAUAAACGUGAAAUGAUGGAGGGAGCUCAAUUCAAUCUUAUGAUGACGUCAUUUUUAUGAUGCUCGUCACUUGGGUGCAGAUGCAAAUGCUCGAAUAAAUCGCGACUAAGGAUACAUGAAAGCUGAGACAAAGUGCUUUGCAUUA